UACGUAGGGUGCAAGCGUUGUCCGGAAUUAUUGGGCGUAAAGAGCUCGUAGGCGGUUUGUCGCGUCCGCUGUGAAAAUCCAGGGCUUAACCCUGGACCUGCAGUGGGUACGGGCAGACUAGAGUGCGGUAGGGGAGAUCGGAAUUCCUGGUGUAGCGGUGAAAUGCGCAGAUAUCGAGAGGAACACCUGCGGCGAAGGCGGGUAGCUGGGCCGACACUGACGCUGAGGCGCGAAAGCCAGGGGAGCGAACGGG
rnacentral:rRNA from 1 species